rnacentral:misc_RNA from 1 species
GAUGAAGAACGUAGCGAAAUGCGAUAAGUAGUGUGAAUUGCAGAAUUCAGUGAAUCAUCGAAUCUUUGAACGCACAUUGCGCCCUUUGGUAUUCCAAAGGGCAUGCCUGUUCGAGCGUCAUUUGUACCCUCAAGCUUUGCUUGGUGUUGGGCGUCUUGUCUCUAGCUUUGCUGGAGACUCGCCUUAAAGUAAUUGGCAGCCGGCCUACUGGUUUCGGAGCGCAGCACAAGUCGCACUCUCUAUCAGCAAAGGUCUAGCAUCCAUUAAGCCUUUUUUUCAACUUUUGACCUCGGAUCAGGUAGGGAUACCCGCUGAACUUAAGCAUAUCAAUAAGCGGACGA